GACGAACGCUGGCGGCGUGCCUAAUACAUGCAAGUUGAGCGAUGAAGAUUGGUGCUUGCACCAAUUUGAAGAGCAGCGAACGGGUGAGUAACGCGUGGGGAAUCUGCCUUUGAGCGGGGGACAACAUUUGGAAACGAAUGCUAAUACCGCAUAACAACUUUAAACAUAAGUUUUUAGUUUGAAAGAUGCAAUUGCAUCACUCAAAGAUGAUCCCGCGUUGUAUUAGCUAGUUGGUGAGGUAAAGGCUCACCAAGGCGAUGAUACAUAGCCGACCUGAGAGGGUGAUCGGCCACAUUGGGACUGAGACACGGCCCAAACUCCUACGGGAGGCAGCAGUAGGGAAUCUUCGGCAAUGGACGAAAGUCUGACCGAGCAACGCCGCGUGAGUGAAGAAGGUUUUCGGAUCGUAAAACUCUGUUGGUAGAGAAGAACGUUGGUGAGAGUGGAAAGCUCAUCAAGUGACGGUAACUACCCAGAAAGGGACGGCUAACUACGUG
rnacentral:rRNA from 1 species